rnacentral:ncRNA from 1 species
ACAAGACCUAUGAUGGAGAAAAGUAAUUAAGGAUCGCACGUUCAGAGAGGAAAGGCCUUGGCUGAGAGCCGUUCCCGUCAGCACCAUAAUGAAUGAACACUCCGGAGGUUUUCCUUUGAAAGAAGCGAUGCUUUUAGUAGGAGGAAACGCGAGCAGGCGUUAGCUGAAAAGUGAAAACGGAAAAUCCGUUUUAACUAGGGUGGUACCACGGGAAAAAACUCUCGUCCCUUAU